AUAAAAAGUUUGCUGUUGUUGGAAUUUCAUUUGCAGGGAUGUCUAUGUGAAAAAAGGGAAAAUCGUGUGUGCUUUUUGACGGUGGCGAAAAAACUAUCAACCUUUUUUAGCUAAACCGGAGUGUUAGAUGAUGAAAAGUAAUGAAUAUUAACUUUUCGUACGCUGUUUAUGUGGAUUCUGUUCAUUUCUGGUUCGAAAAUCGAACGGACGAAGCGAACAAAAACUUCCGGAACCGGAUGAUAUUCAAAAUUAAACUUCCGGGACGGCCAUUGAAAUCCGGUGAAUAUUGAAUACCAACGCAAAUCAUUUUCCGAAGGACCAUCAGACUACGAAGAAAUUGAACGAAAAAAGAAUGGAAGAUUGGUUGGAAAACUCUGGGUCGGAUUUGCUCCAGCCAUGGGCAGAGCAGGUAAUGUUUAAUAUAAUGAAAAUCAUCAAGAGAAUUUAAUCUAAAGAGAAAUUGUAAUUCUUUCAAUAGCUGUCGGGCCCAGACGGAACCUGCUACUUCUCUUGGUAAUCAGGAAUUGAGCCACAGUGUGUUAGUCUACCCGGGCUGGCCACUUCAAUUGGAUUAACAAGCGUCAUAUUGGCUCAGGAUACUUAAAAUGCUUUGGCAGAAGAAAAAAACUACUGGUUGGAGCAUUCCGAUGUGCACAAAAAAACAAACGAGGAAAUACGAGAAAAUAUCGUGUUUUACAUGGGCUGCCGCGAAACAUCGGAUUCUUACUUUUAUCUGUGGCUCUACUACAUCCCAUUAAAAAACGGGUGUGCUUGAGUGAUCAGCUAAGAGAACGGCACUGGAUAACAUUUUCCCUAUCAGAAGGUCAGGAAAUCGGAGAUUGCGGCGAGGUCGGUCAGGAACUUCGUCCCCCAACCUUCCAGUAUAGUUCGAACAUUAGCUUCUAGGCGCUGAGUAGUAACAUUUGGGGAACCUUCCGAAUGGAACGUGAGAAUUAGCAUACGUUCAAUUUUCUCAUUUAUUUUUUUUUUUAUCUCAUGAUAUUGAA